CAGCCGCCGCGGUAAUACGGAGGGUGCAAGCGUUAAUCGGAAUUACUGGGCGUAAAGCGCACGCAGGCGGUUUGUUAAGUCAGAUGUGAAAUCCCCGAGCUUAACUUGGGAACUGCAUUUGAAACUGGCAAGCUAGAGUCUUGUAGAGGGGGGUAGAAUUCCAGGUGUAGCGGUGAAAUGCGUAGAGAUCUGGAGGAAUACCGGUGGCGAAGGCGGCCCCCUGGACAAAGACUGACGCUCAGGUGCGAAAGCGUGGGGAGCAAACAGGAUUAGAUACCCGGGUAGUCCCUGUCUCUUAUAC
rnacentral:rRNA from 1 species